rnacentral:rRNA from 1 species
AUUGAACGCUAGCGGGAUGCUUUACACAUGCAAGUCGAACGGAGUGGGGGAGGGGUGAGUAAUAUAGCGGAACGUGCCCAGUAGCGGGGGAUAAAUACGCGAAGGUGGGUCUAACAGCGCAACCUAUUGGAUCCGCCGAUAUGGGAUUAGCUAGUUGGGGGGGUAACGGCGCACCAAGGCCACUAUCCGGAGCGGGUGUGAGAGGACGACCAGCCACACUGGAACUGAGACACGGCCCAGACUCCUACGGGAGGCAGCAGUGGGGAAUUUUGGACAAUGGGGGAAACCCUGAUCCAGCCAUCCCGCGUGUAUGAUGAAGGCCUUCGGGUUGUAAAGUACUUUUGGCAGGGAAGCGGUAUCUGCAGAAUAAGCACCGGCUAACUACGUGCCAGCAGCCGCGGUAAUAC